AAAAAAAAAAGAAAAUAAGUAAUUCAAUUAAAAGUGGACAAAGGGCCUGAAAAGACAUAUAUCCAAAGAUUUACAAAUUAUCACAGCAAAAACUUGAAAAAAUAAAAAAAUAAAAAAAUAAAAAUAAAAAAAAGAAUUUGGGCUUGUUUUAAGGUCCCUUGCAAUUGCCUUGAGAUGUCUAUCUUUGGUGAAGGUCUACGGGGCUAUUUAGUCUAGUUGACAUCAGAAUCCUCCACGGCACAGAAAUAGUUGGGGACCAAUGAAAUGACAGGGAAAUCUACUAAAAAAGGACCAUCACUGUGCUUCCUUUGUCCCUUAAAUAGGACAUACGUGUUAUUGCAUUUUUGUUUACUUUGUUUGACAGACAGCACUAGUUUCUUUUUACUAUGUGGAUACAGGACUUAAACCCAGGAUGAAAGGCUUGGCAACAAACACCCGUAUCUCCUGAGCCAUCUUACCAGCCCCAGGACUUGCUGUUUUUAAAGGUGAGCACACGAUAACCUAGAUAACAGGUAACACCUCUCACCACCUUUCUAGCCAGGUAUGGCUGGGUGCCUGAGUUUACCCUAUGUCAUCAGAGAUUGCUAGUAAAUAUUUAACGAUCAAUUCUGACAGAGGGAGAAGGAAGAGACAGGCUGAGCAGCUCUAGGGCUCUAGGGGAGAGGUCAGGCUUCCAGCAGAGGCUGCUAAAGUUGGAGCUGUCAAGAGAUAUAGCUCUCCCUUGUUGAGUCCCUGGCUCUAGCUCAUUGUUAAGUACAAUGAAGCAUUUUCUAUGACUUAUUGAGAUAUCCAUUAAAAAAAAACAAAAAACCACGGCGGGGGACAAGCUUCAAGGAAUGGUGCACGCCCUUCUCCCAUUCUUCCUCUCUUCUGAAAGGAAUGAAUAUGAGAUAUGUGAUGGGUUGCAACUCCAGCUUGCAUGUUGGACCCUAAGGAGGAAGCAAUGUACUAAGGAACAGCAGGAUCCAACACAAAGAGGCCCUGAUGACCACGGAACUGCAGGGACGGCCCUGCACAGUGCAUGCAUGCAAACAGAAACAGACAGAGAGACAGAGAGGAGAGAGAGAGAGAGAUAUCUAACUUGUAAAUAUAACCAAUUUUUCUCCCUCACAGAUUUCUUAGCCAUUAUCAUCAUGGCAGGAAGCAUUGCAGUAUCCAGGCAGGCAUGGCUGUGGAGGAGCUCAGAGUUCUACAUCUUGUUCCUCAGGCAAACAGGAGAAGACUGCCCACCCCCACAGUGACAUGCUGCCUGCAACGAGGCCACGCCUCCUAAUGGUAGCAUUCCCUGUGGGCUAACCAUUCAAACACAUGCAUCUAUGGGACCAAACCUAUUCAAACCACCACAAGAGAGGAAUACACCAAAGAGACAUCUGGACCCUGGAGUCACAGCCACCUCAGUUGUCAUCCCAGCCCAGGCAUUCUCCAGCCAUAGCAAGCCGUCUGCCUCCCCAGUCUUACUUUCUCUGUUUGAAUAAUAAGAGAAAACUGACCUAAAGAA
rnacentral:sRNA from 1 species